rnacentral:lncRNA from 1 species
GACUUGGAGGUGAAUAUUAUCUCUCCAAAUGAAGGGAGGCAUUGUUGCACAAACUAAAAAAGGAUUCCAAUAGAGAGCUUGUUGGAGUUAAUAUUUUGGAAUUUGCCUACCUAACUGUCUAAAUAUGGUGUUUAACAACUCUAUUGUAGUUGCUCUAAUCAUUUUCAAUGCCUAGCUAAAUAUAUCAUGAAGCUUAUUAGUUAAUAUGUGUGUUAAUGAGUGUGUUAGGAUAAAUUAAUUAGCCAACUCUUUUUUUUUUCUUUCUCUCCAAUGGUUUAGUUUAAUGUGUGUCAAAUGGAACCUACCAUUUCUAACUAUUAGAGCCAUAGUUAAUUUUUUAAUCAAGUUAAUAAAAAAUAAAUGAGCCCCACUCAUUAAAAUAGAAAUUUUCAACUAUUGUUACUUUGUAUAGGAGAAAAAUAUGUGGGGCCCACUCAUUAAACUAUUAUUGUUUGUAUUAAUUAAUAAGGUAAUAGAUAGUGCAUUUUUCGACACAACUAAUGGAGUGUUUUUAGUACCAUUAACUAAUUAGUGUUUUAGUCAAAAAAAUGAGACUCAAUUUUACAUAUGCAAAAGCUUUUUUAACAAAGGCCAAAGCCAAAAGAUAAGAAAACCUCAACUCGAGAAAAUUAUUAGGUACCUGCGAAAUUUAUCGUUAUAUAAUUAGUAGAGUGUGACGUAUGAAUGUCACAUGGUACUUUGAGAAAGUAUUGAAUAUUUAAAUAUUAAAGCAAUACCCAACAUUUUUUUUUCUUUUUCAUUAAUAUUUUUGUUAAUCAUUUAAAAAAAUAAUAAACGAAAUAAUUAUAGGUGUGCCACACCCAAUUAAAAACAAAAUGUAGUCAUCAUAACAGGAAUGCUUUAACUUUGAUUGGAAUGUGAACAUUGUUAUUGCCGACAUCCCCCAAUGAUAAAAUAAAAGCAUUAAACAUUUAUAAAACUCUAGCAUGAAAAACAUAUGCACAAAAGUUUAAUGGGAUAUAUCCUUGAGCAUAUAAUUAUAUAAGUAGAAGUCAACUAGUUGAGAGAUUAUAUAAGUUAACUUACUAUGUAAAGUGUAAACUUAUUUGAGAUAUACUUAUAGAGAGAACUUUUAAAUGAUUUUUUUAAAAAAAUUAAUGAAAAUUUUUACAUUUACAGACUCUUCUUGGUAAGAGGAACUUAAAAAAUAUUUUAAAAUUUUUUCAAAACUAUUUUUUGAUUUUUUUCAUUUUUUCAUUAAUUUUCUUGACUUUUUUUUAAUUAUAAUCAAAAUCUUAUAUGGGUCACAUUAGAAACCUAUGAUGUGAGUCCCCUACAUAGGAAAACCUAGUGCAAUUAAUGAUGAGUUACAUUAGAAACGAGUUCGGAUCCUCUGAAGUGGGAGUUGGGUGGAGUGUUCCUAAAGUAUACAAAACAAUAUCAUUUUGUACACUUUAGAACCAAAACAACGUAAUUUUAAUUAACCAUAAAACGAUAAUGUUUUAUGAUCAAGAUCAAACGACAUCAUUUUAGUCUUAAAGUGUAUAAAACGAUGUUGUUUUGUACAUUAAAUGAGCACUCGACCCAACUUCCACUCUAGAGGAUCCGAAUCCAUUAGAAACAUGUUCACACACACACCAACCAGCCAUUGAGAGGAAGACAUUAGACUUGGGAUUUAUGAUCAUUAAUAGUCAGACUUUUGUGAUGCUUAGGUUAUCCAACUUAUCCUCCACUACCAUUUGCCUAUAAUUGCUACCACACAAUAGAUACAUUUUCCCACGAUUAUUGCUUUGAAUGGCUAAAGCUCAUAAACCUAGUGAUGACUGAUGAGCAUCAAAAAUAAUAAGUACACACUCAAUUUUUGUACAUAUUCAGACACACUUUUUCAUAGAAAAUAGUAGAACCUGCUUUAAUUAGGAUAAAAUAUCUGGAUGUAUACAAAAAGUGAAUGCAUACCUAUCAUUGUUCGAUGGGCAUAGAAGAGAAACUCAGAUUAACGAUAAAUGACAUAGAGAGAGUAUAAGAUGAAUAAGUUUUAUGCCCAUCCAUUCUCAUUUGCGAUAUUUUAUUAAUUAAUCACACAUUGGAACACCUUGGCAUUGCUGUAAUAUUAAUUCUUGCUAUUUUGAAUGGCAUGUACUUAGGAAAUUAAGGCCAUAAUUUUUUUUAACUAUUUUAACUGCUUUAGUUUCUAUUUUUUUAUUUUUAAGUUAUUUGUUUAAAAUUUUAUAACUUUUCAUUUCUUUUUGACAAAAGUAAUUUAAAAAUGUAAAAAAUAUUUUAUUUUUUUUAAAAAAUAUCAUAAAAAUAAAAAAAAUAUUUUUACUUGACAUAGAAGUUUAUUUUAUUGUCUUUCGUAUUUUUUUUUUAAAUUUGAACAAAAAAAUUAUAUCUUAGAUUUUUCCUAUCAAGAAUAAUCGACAAACUAUAAUUUUUUUGAUCAAACAAUGAAAAAAACUUCAUUAAAAAUAAAAAAACUUGAAAAUCAAAACCAAACUACUAAGUCCUUUUGGACUAAGUUUAUUUUUUUUAUAUAUCU